GUCCUUCAUGGAUUUCAUUGUUGAAUCAGUUCACUAGAAUCUGGCCACCCUUCCUCUGCCCCCUGUUUUCCAGGAAUAAACUGAUCAAAUCAAGAUUCAGAAGCAGAAUAACCAUACACCAAGCCUCAGCCCACACUACGGAGGCCUGCAGGAAUAUCCUGUCGCAUUUGUUCCUGCUCCUUCUCAUCCAGGAUGCAAUUCCCAUCUUGGUCAAACCUGGUGAAGGCAGCUGUGAGCUCAGUGAUCUCAUACUCCGUGUGCCCCAGCCUGAGGAGAACAGAGUGAUGAAAUGACUUCUGAGCUGCCAUGGCUGUGGUCUCCCAGUUAUGGACUCCCUACUCAUUUUUUUCAGUCUCUGGCAAGAGGGAAGAAGGGUACCAUGUAGAAAAGCCAGGAUCUCCAAGAUCUAGCAAUUUGAUCCCCUAAGAAAUCACUUGAGUCUAUUUCUUCCUUCUGUGACUCCUGCUGACUAGGUUCAGGCCCUCGUGAUCUCCUAUGGGGAUUACUGCAAAAUCUCUUUGCCUCCAGAUAACCUGACCCCUCCCUGCACCCUCUGUCCUAUAGCCUCCCCUUCACUCCUUAUCCCUGAAAUCCAUCCCUCAUAAUGCUACUAGAGUAAUUAAUCUUUCUAAAAUACAAGUCUAAACAUACCCCUUCCCUGCUUAAAAUCCCUACUGAGAACCCUGUUCUUUGAGUAGAGCAGUGGCGUCCAAGGCUUUUCCCAGUGUGGCCUGAGCCCAUUUAACUGGCCUCAGCUCCCCCUGUGCUCUGCCUUUCAUUUGAUACCUUAACAAUACUCAGCUACUAGUGACUCCUGUCUGUGUUGCUCAAUUUCAGACCUCCUUGCUUUUAUAUGUGCUUUUAUUAAUCCAUGCCCCUCUCUUCUAGUCACUUCUGUUGUCAAACUUGUUCUCUGAUUCUGUUUAAUUGCUUACAUGUCUAUAAACUCCUGGAGGACAAUGACUUUGUUUCAUUUAAUUGUGUGUCUGGCUCACAGCUGGUGCUCACAAUAUAUUUGUUCAAUGUUUGUUAAUAUGUUUAACUGGGAAGCAGGAAGAGGAUGGUUAAAGGAAAAGAUCUGUGUUUGUUGGGGAGCACAGAACCAAGAUCAAAGUUCUGAAGGAGUGAGGGAUGUAUACAGUGAUUAUGGAAUUAUAUUAUUACAUUAGUCCUAAGAGUUAUUCAACAAGAUCCAGAAUACAAUAGAACAUGGUCAGAGUCCUUUAAACCAAGGGCACAAUUCUGAAGGUCAGGAUCAGAGACCUAUAAGCCAAGCUCAUAGUCCUAUAAACCAAGGUCAGAGCACCAUAAGCCAAGAUCAGAGGCUUAUAGGCGAAGGGUGUAUGGUUGAGGGUCAAGGACUUAUAGACUAAUGUCA